CGGGAGGUCACAUGCUUCUUUAUAUACCCAUAUGAACUACAUUGCUAUGGAAUGUAAGGAAGUGUGUGGCUUCUCU
rfam:Xenopus laevis strain J chromosome 5S, whole genome shotgun sequence.